rnacentral:rRNA from 1 species
GACGAACGCUGGCGGCGUGCUUAACACAUGCAAGUCGAACGAUGCUCUCCCGCCUGCGGGGGUGCUUAGUGGCGAACGGGUGAGUAAUACGUGAGUAAUCUGCCCUUGACCCUGGGAUAAGCCUGGGAAACCGGGUCUAAUACUGGAUACUACUUCCUGCCGCAUGGUGUGGGCUGGAAAGGGUUUUACUGGUUUUGGAUGGGCUCACGGCCUAUCAGCUUGUUGGUGGAGUAAUGGCUCACCAAGGCGACGACGGGUAGCCGGCCUGAGAGGGUGACCGGCCACACUCACACUGGGACACAGCCCAGCCCCAGACGGGGCGCAGCGGUGGGAGAGUUUGAUCCUUGGGCAGAAGCGAGAUACAGCGAAAGCGGGGGAGGGUUGAAGGCCAACGGGUUCUAACCCUCAUUCAGCGGUAAAGGUGCCGAGAGUGACGGUACCGGGAGAAGAAGCGCCGGCUAACUACGUG